rnacentral:rRNA from 1 species
UGAGGAAUAUUGCACAAUGGCCGAAAGGCUGACGCAGCGACGCCGCGUGGAGGAUGAAAUCCGUUAGGAUGUAAACUCCUUUUGCCGGGGAAGAAUGUCCGCUUAUGGCGGAAGUGACGGUACCUGGCGAAUAAGGAUCGGCUAACUACGUGCCAGCAGCCGCGGUAAUACGUAGGAUCCGAGCGUUGUCCGGAAUUACUGGGUGUAAAGGGCGUGUAGGUGGGCUUCUAAGUCGGUGGUGAAAUCCUGCAGCUUAACUGCAGAAUUGCCCUCGAUACUGGGAGUCUUGAGUGCGGCAGAGGGAGAUAGAAUUCAUGGUGUAGCGGUGAAAUGUGUAGAUAUCAUGAAGAAUACCGGUUGCGAAGGCGGUCUCCUGGUCCGUUACUGACACUGAGGCGCGAAAGCGUGGGGAGCAAACAGGAUUAGAUACCCUGGUAGUCCACGCCUUAAACGAUGGGUACUCGGUGCUGGUCCCGUUCGGCACUCGUUACGGCGAGUGUGGAACGGGGUCAGUGCCAAAGUUAACGCAUUAAGUACCCCACCUGGGGAGUACGAUCGCAAGGUUGA